rnacentral:lncRNA from 1 species
UCGCUGCAGAGGAAGCAGAGGCUGAAAGAGGUGGAGCACCUUGCCCAGGGCCACACAGCUUGCCAGAGGCAGGAUGCAGAUGAGGAGUGCUGACUGUGUGGGUGCAAGGCCUCCCUCCUCUCCCACGGGCUGAAUCUCUUGUGUUCCAUCCUGUGCUGUUCUUUUGUGAGCCUCAGUUUCCUCCUCUGAGCAGUGGGGAGGGUAGCAGAGUGGACCAGAGCUGGCGUCAGCAGGGCUGGAGCGGGUGCCGUUCGUUAAUUGGCCUGCACGCAAGUCCUCAUUCCAGCCAGUGGUGUGAGCCGGUUGCUAAGGGAGGAGGCUGAGGUUGAGAUGUGCAGCUGAUGGCAGCAAAGCCAGGGGUCCAGCCACUCCUUGGCCCUGGGGUCCUUCCCCUGCUGUACCUGCUGCCUGGUGCCACCUGCUCUAUAUGACCCCGAGGAUUGCCUGUGUUUAGCUGGACCUCUGUCCUACAUGACUGGCCUUGAGCCAGCCCUCGGGAAGCCAGGCUGGUGGCGCUCACGCAUCCAGCCUCCUGGGCCUGUCCCCUCCUUCAGGAGCUCUGCGUCCUUUACUGCGUGAGCUGCUCCCUUUCUGACUUGUUCCAGCCCUGCACGGUCGCCUCGUCCUGAAGGCAGAGCCUGGGAACACUCCAGAAGGUGCCAGCUGUCGGCACGGCUGGCUGUCUCAACGCCUCAUUCGGCCUCCACUCCCUGCUGCAAAUGGGAGGCACUGCCAGCUUGGCAGCAUGGGACGGUGCAGAGUCGGGCGGUGCUGGUGGGAGGCCGUGGUGAUCAGACUCGUGGGCUGGAGCCCGGACACGAGAGCGCCCAGGGAAGAUGCAGGCUGCGGGCUGACCUGUCGCUGACGUGGGCUCCCAGGCUGGACCUGCCCCGGCCCGGCAUGCGCCUCUCUGUGCGCAGGGCGCUGCUGGC